CCAAUUUGAGUUCAUCCAAGCACCAAAAAGCAGGAGAUUCCUACUCGUUCUUCACGACUACACAUUUAGACAGACAACUAGUGACACCAGGUACUGGCAUUGUGUGAAGAAGAAGAAUACCAACUGCAAUGCAAGGAUCCGAUUCGACCACAGUGGCAACCUGAAGGUUUACCAGCGGAUCCAUAAUCAUCAACCAGAUAAGCUCGAACACAUGGCCAAAACCGUUGCCUCUCCUUUCAGUACAACUGAUGACAAGGUUUUACAAGGCAAACCAAUACUUACUCUGGACGGGUACGAAUACUUCGCAAAUAAAAAAAAGGGAAGAGUUUCUUAUUGGCAGUGUACAGCGACAACGACUUUAGGGUGUAAAGCUAGUGUUGUAACCCAAGCGGACACUAUUAGAAUAGGAACUGAGUCUCAUGUACACCCACCGCAGGUAGCUAAGCCAAAGUAGGAAUUUAGUAAGUACCUACAUAAAGGUUUGUAAAUGCUCUCGUCACACUGUCGGCGUGAUGGUAGAAGAGACGUCACUCCGUGGGCCAUUAUCAUCGCGCGCAGCGUGACGACGUCACUGUGGCGUCUUACUUAUAUAUAUUUCGGUACAUUACAACCAUUAGCGCAUCGCGGACGUAAUUUUUGCGCCCAGACACGCUGGCAAUAUGACGAGAGGUCAAAGUCUUAUUAUUUUACACACAUCGACAACAUAAAAUACUGUAUAUAACCCACUGCUUGGCACACACAUUCUUUUUAGGUUAGUGAAGAAACACUCAAGACUGCGUGUCAAAAAAGAAAAACACCAAAAUUGCAAAAAGUAGCACUUUUUGGUAAGUAAUAACAAUAUUAUAUUUAUUUAUUCACACAAUAAUUAAUAACAAUAGAAACACAUAACAUAUUAAUAACACAAACAUAAUAUAUUAAUUGUAUAAAUUCUAUGAAUAAUAUUCUUAAUGUGUGUCUAAAGAGUUAUGUAAAAAGUUGUUUUUUUUACUUAACUACUUAAAUGGAUAAAUGUUGUAUAUGCAUAAGAAUUAUUGUUGUUAUAACGACAAAAGUAAUUCUACUAUUACCGUUGUCUCCAUCCGACUGUCUUUAAGGUACAGCUGAAUUACUUCAAUUAAAUUUCUAUUUUUUUUAUUAUGGUAUAGCUGAAAAUGGUCUGCCCUACAUUAUUUUUUCAUGUAGUACUUACAUAAAACUCUUUAGUUAAUGUAACCAUAUAAUUAUAUAAGAUUGAUAGUGGUAACUAUUCGGGCAGACACAAACUUAACCUAAUUUUAGUUUGACACCUCUUAACUACGAAAUAACCCUGAAACCAGGGUUGAUGAGGUUGGUAAUUCACCUCUCAAUCCACACGAUAGAAGAAGAAGAACUACGAAAGAGAUAGAGGUAGUUUUAUUCCUGUCAAAUUAAAUCGAUUCAGCACCUAUGGUAGACUUUUUUUGGUAGACUUUUUUUGUGUGGCAGAUCUAAAACUUGCUUUAUCUGUUUUGCACUUAUAGUAAAAGAAAAACAUAAUUUUAUUUAAACUAAAAUAUUUUUUGUCCGUCAGAAUCGUUACCAACAUCCCGUUCCAAUUCCCAAUAACUGUACAAUAAAAAAAAAUGUACAAUAACAAGUUGUAAAUUUUUUAAGAUUGUUUUAUUACUAAAUGAUUUUUAAUUAUUUUCUAUCUAUAUUUUUUAUUUUUCUUCUUC